GGGAUGGCACUGUAUUAGAAACAAGACAUAGUUCAAGGAAACAGAUUCAGUCAAUUCAGAUGUGAAAGACCUCAAGAUCAUAUGAAGCAAGAUUCAAGAAACGAUGAUGUUAGAGGAUUUAAGGAGUCUGUUGACUGAAAUAAAGCUGAUCAAAAAUUACGUUUAA